rnacentral:misc_RNA from 1 species
UCCCUUUGCUUUAUUAAUGGUGUACAGAUUGAAUGGUCUCGGUCAUUUCCUUAAGCACAGUUCCCACAUGAAAACUAGUUAAUUGCAUUUCCUUCUUCGGCUUUGUUGAAGCAUUUCAAGACCAUUUCUAUAUGAUCCAAGUCACCUUUCUUAUUAUCAAAUUGACUUUGCAACUCGAAUUUCAUUAGAACCAGAGUUGAUUAUUAAACUGCAUGCUGGCGCAUAACCCUUUCUGCCAUUUCUGUAUAAUUCAGAUAGU